rnacentral:rRNA from 1 species
UACAGAGGGGGCGAGCGUUGUUCGGAAUUACUGGGCGUAAAGGGCGCGUAGGCGGCCAACUAAGUCAGACGUGAAAUCCCUCGGCUCAACCGGGGAACUGCGUCUGAUACUGGAUGGCUUGAAUUCGGGAGAGGGAUGCGGAAUUCCAGGUGUAGCGGUGAAAUGCGUAGAUAUCUGGAGGAACACCGGUGGCGAAGGCGGCAUCCUGGACCGAGAUUGACGCGUGAUGCGCGAAAGCCGGGGGGAGCAAACGGG